rnacentral:rRNA from 1 species
GCAGAGGAUCCCACGGGAGGCAGCAGUGGGGAAUAUUGCACAAUGGGCGCAAGCCUGAUGCAGCCAUGCCGCGUGUAUGAAGAAGGCCUUCGGGUUGUAAAGUACUUUCAGCAGUGAGGAAGGUGGGUAUGUUAAUAGCAUACUCAUUUGACGUUAGCUGCAGAAGAAGCACCGGCUAACUCCGUGCCAGCAGCCGCGGUAAUACGGAGGGUGCGAGCGUUAAUCGGAAUUACUGGGCGUAAAGCGCAUGCAGGUGGUUUGUUAAGUCAGAUGUGAAAGCCCGGGGCUCAACCUCGGAAUUGCAUUUGAAACUGGCAAACUAGAGUACUGUAGAGGGGGUAGAAUUUCAGGUGUAGCGGUGAAAUGCGUAGAGAUCUGAAGGAAUACCGGUGGCGAAGGCGGCCCCCUGGACAGAUACUGACACUCAGAUGCGAAAGCGUGGGGAGCAAACAGGAUUAGAUACCCUGAUAG